rnacentral:rRNA from 1 species
CACUCCUGCGGGAGGCAGCAGUGGGGAAUAUUGGACAAUGGGCGCAAGCCUGAUCCAGCCAUGCCGCGUGAGUGAUGAAGGCCCUAGGGUUGUAAAGCUCUUUCACCGGUGAAGAUAAUGACGGUAACCGGAGAAGAAGCCCCGGCUAACUUCGUGCCAGCAGCCGCGGUAAUACGAAGGGGGCUAGCGUUGUUCGGAUUUACUGGGCGUAAAGCGCACGUAGGCGGACUAUUAAGUCAGGGGUGAAAUCCCGGGGCUCAACCCCGGAACUGCCUUUGAUACUGGUAGUCUUGAGUUCGAGAGAGGUGAGUGGAAUUCCGAGUGUAGAGGUGAAAUUCGUAGAUAUUCGGAGGAACACCAGUGGCGAAGGCGGCUCACUGGCUCGAUACUGACGCUGAGGUGCGAAAGCGUGGGGAGCAAACAGGAUUAGAUACCCUAGUAGUCCCA